CACAUGCUACUUUUCGCACAAAAGUGGCGAUAUUACGUUCGCCUCUUUAAGAUUUAUUCUGCGUUUUGCAGAUCCAUAUUUAGACCGCGCUAUGCAAUUAGCCAAUCGGCAUAAAGUUUAAAGUUGAAAAACAUAGGCGGUGAGAGGUAAACAUGGUAUAUAUGCGAGUUACUCAUCAUGUAAACACAUAACGCUACGUGGCAAAGAGAACACAACAGCUUGACUGCAUAAACCGGUUUUGCGGCUAGCAAGACACAAACAUCGUGCUUUCCUGAAAAACAAACACAUUUAUUGCGUGUUACAAUUCGUUAAGGUGAAUAUACAAAGUGCACACGGAAAAAGACAUACUGUAUAGAUCUAAGGUAUUGAGAAUCAUAGGCAAUCACUGAAUCAGCAAGAAAAUGUCGACUAAGACACCGAGCUCGAGCGCCGAUGCCGACAAAGAAUAUAUGGACGAAUACGAGGACUAUAACAUAAACCAGGACAAAUAUGUGACGUCGGGGCACAGCGGCAAGGGGCGGUCAAAAAAGGAGGCGGAACAGCAUCAUAAGGAUGACCCCAGCGGGCAUACGCGCAAAAUUGUCAACACAUUUACGAAUAACGCGAACAAUCAGAAGAAAUAGAUUGUCUCGCGAGGCGACGCCGUGCGGACAGUUUUCCCGACAACGACUCAACGUGUUGAAUUAUUUUGGUGGUACGGCGUGACUAAAAUGUUUCAACUUUGCCCGGCCUUUGGACUUCGAUUUUUACCAACCUGUGAUAAGACAGGCGCCGUUCCUCGUGCCUUGAUAAUUGUGAGGAAUUAACAUGGCGACCAAUGUGUUGCCAUGUCGACAUAUUAACAUGGUGGAAAAACGCUUUGGUGCGUUUAUCACGCGAGUCAUUUGUGUAUUGUCUUCUUAAAACGAAGUCUUCUGUUGCGUUUUUGUGGUGAUGGUUGCAACAGCAAAUUUGAAUAUUUUGCGCAUGUAUGCAGAACUUUUCAUAAUAAAUUGUUGUUCGAAUUA